rnacentral:rRNA from 1 species
UACGUAGGGUGCAAGCGUUAAUCGGAAUUACUGGGCGUAAAGCGUGCGCAGGCGGCUUUGCAAGACAGAUGUGAAAUCCCCGGGCUUAACCUGGGAACUGCAUUUGUGACUGCAUGGCUGGAGUGCGGCAGAGGGGGAUGGAAUUCCGCGUGUAGCAGUGAAAUGCGUAGAGAUGUGGAGGAACACCGAUGGCGAAGGCAAUCCCCUGGGCCUGUACUGACGCUCAUGCACGAAAGCGUGGGGAGCAAACAGG